rnacentral:rRNA from 1 species
AGUGAACGCUGGCGGCAGGCCUAAUACAUGCAAGUCGAACGGCAGCACAGUGGAGCUUGCUCCAUGGGUGGCGAGUGGCGGACGGGUGAGGAAUACAUGGGAAUCUGCUCAGUCGUGGGGGAUAACGUAGGGAAACUUACGCUAAUACCGCAUGCGCCCUUCGGGGCAAAGCCGGGGACCUUCGGGCCUGGCGCGAUUGGCUUAGCCCAUGUUCGAUUAGCUAGUUGGCGGGGUAAAGGCCCACCAAGGCGACGAUCGAUAGCUGGUCUGAGAGGAUGAUCAGCCACACUGGGACUGAGACACGGCCCAGACUCCUACGGGAGGUAGCAGUAGGGAAUAUUGGACAAUGGGCGCAAGCCUGAUCCAGCCAUGCCGCGUGAGUGAAGAAGGCCCUCGGGUUGUAAAGCUCUUUUGUCCGGGAAGAAAAGCAUCGGGCUAAUACCUCGGUGUUCUGACGGUACCGGAAGAAUAAGCACCGGCUAACUUCGUG